rnacentral:rRNA from 1 species
AUUGAACGCUGGCGGCAUGCCCUACACAUGCAAGUCGAACGGUAACAGGUCUUCGGAUGCUGACGAGUGGCGAACGGGUGAGUAAUAUAUCGGAACGUGCCCAGUCGUGGGGGAUAGCCCGGCGAAAGCCGGAUUAAUACCGCAUACGACCUGAGGGUGAAAGGGGGGGAUUCGCAAGAACCUCGCGCUAUUGGAGGGGCCGAUAUCAGAUUAGGUAGUGGGUGGGGUAAAGGCCUACAAAGCCUGCGAUCUGUAGUGGGUCUGAGAGGACGAACAGCCACACUGGGACGGAGACACGGCCCAGACUCCUACGGGAGGCAGCAGUGGGGAAUUUUGGACAAUGGGCGCAAGCCUGAUUCAGCAAUGCCGCGUGCAGGAAGAAGGCCUUCGGGUUGUAAACUGCUUUUGUCAGGGAAGAAAACCUCCUGGUUAAUACCGCGGGGGGAUGACGGUACCUGAAGAAUAAGCACCGGCUAACUACGUGCCAGCCGCCGCAGUAACAC